GCUAGUUGGUGAGGUAAUGGCUCACCAAGGCAAUGACGGGUAGCGGUUCUGAGAGGAUGAUCCGCCACACUGGUACUGAGACACGGACCAGACUCCUACGGGAGGCAGCAGUGAGGAAUAUUGCACAAUGGGGGAAACCCUGAUGCAGCAACGCCGCGUGGAGGAUGACGCAUUUCGGUGUGUAAACUCCUUUUAUAUGUCAAGAAAAUGACGGUAGCAUAUGAAUAAGCACCGGCUAACUCCGUGCCAGCAGCCGCGGUAAUACGGAGGGUGCAAGCGUUACUCGGAAUCACUGGGCGUAAAGGACGCGUAGGCUGUUUAGCAAGUCAGAUGUGAAAUCCAAUGGCUCAACCAUUGAACUGCAUUUGAAACUGCUAGACUAGAGUAUGGGAGGGGGAGAUGGAAUUAGUGGUGUAGGGGUAAAAUCCGUAGAUAUCACUAGGAAUACCUAAAGCGAAGGCGAUCUCCUGGAACAUUACUGACGCUAAGGCGUGAAAGCGUGGGGAGCAAACAGGAUUAGAUACCCUGGUAGUCCACGCCCUAAACGAUGAACACUAGUCGUCGCGAUGCUUGUCAUUGCGGUGAUGCACUUAACAGAUUAAGUGUUCCGCCUGGGGAGUACGGUCGCAAGAUUAAAACUCAAAGGAAUAGACGGGGACCCGCACAAGUGGUGGAGCAUGUGGUUUAAUUCGAAAAUACGCGAAAAACCUUACCUAGCCUUGACAUUGAUAGAAUACUGUAGAGAUACGGUAGUGCCCUUCGGGGAGCUUGAAAACAGGUGCUGCACGGCUGUCGUCAGCUCGUGUCGUGAGAUGUUGGGUUAAGUCCCGCAACGAGCGCAACCCUCGUCCUUAGUUGCCAGCAGGUUAAGCUGGGCACUCUAGGGAGACUGCCUUCGUAAGGAGGAGGAAGGUGAGGACGACGUCAAGUCAUCAUGGCCCUUAUGGCUAGGGCUACACACGUGCUACAAUGGGGCGUACAGAGUGUUGCAAUACCGCGAGGUGGAGCCAAUCACUUAAAGCGUCUCUCAGUUCGGAUUGUUCUCUGCAACUCGAGAACAUGAAGCUGGAAUCACUAGUAAUCGUAGAUCAGCAUUGCUACGGUGAAUACGUUCCCGGGUCUUGUACUCACCGCCCGUCACACCAUGGGAGUUGAUUUCACCCGAAAUUGGGAAGCUAACCUUCGGGGGGCUACCACUUA
rnacentral:rRNA from 1 species